AGUAGUGUGGCUUAGUGGGAAGAGCCUGAUCUUAGGAGUCGGAGGUCAUGGGUUCGAAUCCCGGCUCUGCCA
rnacentral:tRNA from 1 species